AGCAGCCGCGGUAAUUCCAGCUCCAAUAGCGUAUAUUAAAGUUGUUGCAGUUAAAAAGCUCGUAGUUGAAUUUCGGGAUCAAUACGUCGGUCGUGCUUCGGUACGUACUGGCGUCAUUGAUUUCUCCCUUCUGACGAACCAUGAUGUCAUUAACUUGGUGUCAUGGGAAAUCAGGACUGUUACUUUGAAAAAUUAGAGUGUUUAAAGCAGGCUCACGCUUGAAUACAUUAGCAUGGAAUAAUGAAAUAGGACGUUCGAUCCUAUUUUGUUGGUUUUUAGGAUCAACGUAAUGAUUAAUAGGGAUAGUUGGGGGCAUUAGUAUUCAAUUGUCAGAGGUGAAAUUCUUGGAUUUAUUGAAGACUAACUACUGCGAAAGCAUUUGCCAAGGAUGUUUUCAUUAAUCAAGAACGAAAGUUAGGGGAUCGAAGACGAUCAGAUACCGUCGUAGUCUUAACCAUAAACUAUGC
rnacentral:rRNA from 1 species